CUCCAUUCACCAAAAUUAAUUAAUAUUUAGUAUGUGGACAACCAAUAUCUAAAACGAUUUGCAUUUAAUAAAUAAAGUGACAUCAUUUUAAUGUAUGAAUUCCUUUAUAAGUAGUACAAAACAUGUGCUCAUAAUGCAAACUUAAGAAAAUUAAUAAUUUUUGUACUAUAAAAAAAUGUUGAACCAUGUUUUCCAAAAUGAAUGACUCCUAAAAUUCCCAAAAACAGGGAUAUAUUUUUUCUCACAUCUUUUAUACAUUGUCUUUUUUAUGUUUUAAACAUUGCAAACAAAGAGAAUGAUCAGGAAAAUUUAUUUGGGAGUCUUAGUAACUGACAUAAUUUAAUGUGGAUUGAAAAACAAUGUAUGAAGUCACCAGUGAAUGGAGGAUUUAUCUAUGUGGAUAUACAUGGAAUCCUUACAGUCCUUAAUGUUUUAAGUGUUAUGCAGUAAUCUCAAAGAGAGAAACUCAUUUAUUUUUUGGUGUAAUGGAAUAAUUAUUUAAAUUUCCUCAGCUACUGCUGAAAUUUUGAUUAAAAUUCACCUUUUCCACACAUUUUAAUAUAGAAAACAUAGAUAUUAUUUAAAUAGAAAGGACUGGACUCCUGUCACGGACUUUUCCUAAAAACAAUCUUUAACCUCCUUUCUACCCUUCUCCCUGCCUCCUGAUACCAAGUUUACAUAACGAAAGUCAACUAAAUAGUUCCAGUAUUCAACAUCUGCUUUUUUCCAUUUGUUUCUUACUAUGCAUACUUUGCCCACAAGUGUUUCAGACAAACUGUACUCUAUUCUUUUCUUGUUUCUGGUCAUUUGUUCACAAAGUCCACUUUACCUAGUAUGCCCUCUGUAAUUUCUCCUAUUUAAAAUCCACCAACCCCUUUAAAUACAACUAAAAUGCAAAAAUGCAUGAAAAGGCUUUUUCCUUUAUAUCUAAAGAUAUCUUAUUCUACCCUGUGCUCCCAAUGUCCUUUGGGUUUCCAUUACAGUCUUUAAUUCAUAUUGCCUCAUGUGAUACACAUUUGUGUACACGCAUUUCUUAGAAUGGCAAUCAUGAAGGGCUCGCCAUUUAUGUUCUGUAGCAUGUGACAUAUAUUCUAUUGAUAAUUAUUAGUUUUAUAUUAGUUUUUUUCCUUUAAUUUAUUCCUUAACCAAAGAUUAAUGUUGUUGUUUUUUUCUUCUGCACGUCUUCCUAGCAAGUUAUAAUUUCCAAACUGGACAUGGUGAUGGACACUUGUGGUCCCAGCUACUCAAGAGGCUGAGACAGGAAGAUGGCUUGAGCCCAGGAGUUCCAGCCUACUGUGAGCUAUGACUGCUACACUGCAUUCCAGCAUGGGUGACAGAGCUAGACCCCAUCUUUUAAAAAAAGAGUUAUAAUUUUCAAAUAAAUCUACCUUUAUGAUUUCACUUACCCCAAACUAAAAGAGUAUGUAUUGAAGUUUCUUAGAGAUGAAACACUUAUCAUGCUAUUUCUUAUGAUCUCAUUCUGGUAUGUUUUCAUAAUACAUGCAAUAUCUAUUUUUCAAAAGAUGAUAUCUGUAUAAUCUCAAAAUUCUAUGAUUUUAGUAAUCUGGUAAUACUAUAAAAAAUUUAUCCCAUUCCUACUCAAUUGUACAGUAGGAAAAAUAAAAAUCAGUCUCAUUUUAUAUAACAA
rnacentral:lncRNA from 1 species